rnacentral:tRNA from 1 species
GCCGUGGUGGCUCAGUUAAGCGCUCAGUUGCUAACUGAAAGGUUGGCAGUUUGAACCUACCCCGAGGCU